UUUUAAAGCUCCAUGGAGGAAAACUGCCAUGGCGCGUUGUAGACUGAAGGGGCGGCAUCUUGGGCAGGCCGGGUAUAGAUCCGUUGGAACACGGUAUCAUAGAGGGUGAGAAUCCCGUCUGUGACCCGGAGGUUUCUGYCCAUGUACGUUGCGCUUCCAAAGAGUCGGGUUGUUUGGGAAUGCAGCCCAAAAUGGGUGGUAAAUUUCAUCUAAGGCURAAUACAGGCACGAGACCGAUAGCGCACAAGUACCGUGAGGGAAAGGUGAAAAGAACUUUGAAAAGAGAGUCAAAAAGUACGUGAAACCGUUAAAAGGGAAACGAAUGGAGCUAGCACAUUUGCGUUUCUCACAAUCAGCCGGAGGAUGUUCCAGGCCAGGGCUUGGCAGGUCAGAGACCCUUUUUCGCGUUUCGGCGCGGGGGGGGGCAUGGCUUGCUGCUCGCGGCUUGGGUCAGCCGGUGCACUUGUGGGGCAGCGCAGGCCAACAUCAGUUCGGCUUCCGGGGCAUAUACGUCGGGGGAAGGUAGUUGCGGCGCUUCGGUGUCGUAAUGUUAUAACCCUCGGCGGGUGGACCGGGCAGGACUGAGGAGAAGCAGCGCGCACAGUUCGGAGAGUUACCGCUGGUUUUGCAGGUUCAGGGAGACUGGGUGGGUUCUCGUCCUUCACGGGAGGGAUUCAUGCAGUGCUUUGGGCCGUAAUUCGUCGCUUGUUCCUGAACUUCCCUUUAGGGGGGGAAGGGGUUUGCGGGGGAGAUGAGCAGGGCCAUACGGGACCUACCCAGACCACGCGCUUGUGAUGUUGGGGAAAUGGCUUCAUCCGACCCGUCUUGAAACACGGACCAAGGAGUCUAACAUAUGCGCGAGUCUUUGGGUUGAAAGCCCGCGGGCGAAAUGAAAGUGAAGGCGUGCUUGGCGCGCUGAGGUGAGAAACCUGCGUCCUCCUCCUUUGGUAACACAGGGUGGGGGCGUUGGAUGCAUCAUCGACCGAUCCGGAUGGCUCUGUCCUGAAAGAUUUGAGUAAGAGCGUAUCUGUUGGGACCCGAAAGAUGGUGAACUAUGCCUGAACAGGGUGAAGUCUGAGGAAACUCAGAUGGAAGCUCGUAGCGAUUCUGACGUGCAAAUCGAUCGUCUGAUUUGGGUAUAGGGGCGAAAGACUAAUCGAACCAUCUAGUAGCUGGUUCCCUCCGAAGUUUCCCUCAGGAUAGCUGGAACUACAUACGUAAGCAGUUUUAUCAGGUAAAGCGAAUGAUUAGAGGCCUUGGGGUUGAAAUAACCUCAACCUAUUCUCAAACUUUAAAUAGGUAAGAAGCCUGGCUUGCUUAGGUGAAGCCAGGCACUGAAUGCAAGUUUCAAGUGGGCCAUUUUUGGUAAGCAGAACUGGCGAUGCGGGAUGAACCGAACGUGAAGUUAAAGUGCCAAAGUUCACGCUCACCCAGAACCCAGAAAAGGUGUUGGCUGAUGAAGACAGCAGGACGGUGGCCAUGGAAGUCGGAACCCGCUAAGGAGUGUGUAACAACUCACCUGCCGAAUCAGCCAGCCCUGAAAAUGGAUGGCGCUCAAGCGUGACACUUAUACUUCGCCGUUGCCUUUUUUUUUCUAAUUAUAUACGAGAAUCGCAACGAGUAGGAGGGCGUGGAGGUCGUGAAGCAGCUUUGGGCGUAAGCCUGAGUGAA
rnacentral:rRNA from 1 species